UACAGAGGUCCCAAGCGUUGUUCGGAUUCAUUGGAGCGUAAAGGGUGCGUAGGUGGCGCCGUAAGUCAGGUGUGAAAUCUCGGGGCUUAACUCCGAAACUGCAUUUGAUACUGCGGUGCUUGAGGACUGGAGAGGAGACUGGAAUUUACGGUGUAGCAGUGAAAUGCGUAGAGAUCGUAAGGAAGACCAGUGGCGAAGGCGGGUCUCUGGACAGUUCCUGACACUGAGGCACGAAGGCCAGGGAGCAAACGGG
rnacentral:rRNA from 1 species